GGGUCCACCUGUGGUAAUCCACGGGGCUCUCCCCAUCUCAAGAUCCUAAGCGUAAUACAUCUUCUAAGUCUCUUUUGCCGUAGAGGACUGUAUCCAGUUAUGAACAAUUUAAAUGGGAAUGUGGAGCAUUUGGAGAGAGAUUUUAUAGAAGAAAAGCUGAAAUUAAUUGAGAUUGUUUGGCCUGAAGAAGAGGACGUUUCUUGGCUGCAGCCACCAGCAGAAACCAGGAAGAGGAAAGGAAGAAUCUUACCCAGGGCCUCUGAAGGAACGUGGCCCUGCUGAUACCCUGAUUUCAUACUUACAGCCUUUAGAACUGUGGGAGGGUGAACUCCUGCCAUUUUAAGCCACUCCAUUUGUGCUUUCUUAUGGCAGCCCUAGGAGACUAAUAGAACACUUGAGAAGUAUUUGUUGAAUAAAGAUUGUCU
ensembl:lncRNA